rnacentral:tRNA from 1 species
GGUUGUGGCUCAGAGGUAGAGUGCUUGCCUAGCAUGUGUGAGGCACUGGGUUGGAUUCUCGGCACCA